AGAUUGAACGCUGGCGGCAGGCCUAACACAUGCAAGUCGAGCGGUAGAGAGGUGCUUGCACCUCUUGAGAGCGGCGGACGGGUGAGUAAUGCCUAGGAAUCUGCCUAGUGGUGGGGGAUAACGUUCGGAAACGGACGCUAAUACCGCAUACGUCCUACGGGAGAAAGCGGGGGACCUUCGGGCCUCGCGCCAUUAGAUGAGCCUAGGUCGGAUUAGCUAGUUGGUGAGGUAAUGGCUCACCAAGGCGACGAUCCGUAACUGGUCUGAGAGGAUGAUCAGUCAACACUGGAACUGAGACACGGUCCAGACUCCGACGGAGGCAGCAGGUAGGGAAUAGUGGACAAGUGGGACGAAAGCCUGACUCCAGCCAUGCCGACGUGUGUGAAGUAGGUCUUCGGAUUGGAAAGUCUAAUUUUAAGGUGGGUAAGGAAGGUUUGUAAACGUUUAAUACGUUGAC
rnacentral:rRNA from 1 species